CCAUUUAAGUGAAGAUCACGAAUUUUCUCUUCUCAAAUACCCCAUUUAAGCGAAAAUCACGCGUUUUCUCUUCGCAAAUCCCCCAUUUAAGCGAAAAUCACGCGCUUUCUCUUCGAGAAUCCCCCAUUUAACACAAAAAAACACGCGUUUUCUCUUCAGAAAUCCCACAUUUAAGCGAAAAUCACACGUUUUCUUUUUGAGAAUCAUCAAUUUAAAUGAAUAACAAGCGUUUUCUCUUUGAGAAUCCCCCAUUUAAGCGAAUAUCACACAUUUUCUCUUCGAGAAACCUCCAUUCAACCCGAAACUCACAAGUUUUUCACUUCGCGAAUCCCCCAUUUAAGCAAAAAUCACGCGUUUUCUCUUCACAAAUCCCCCAUUUAUGCGAAAAUCACGUGUUCUUUUUGCAAAUCCCCCAUUUAAGCAAAAAUCAUGCGUUUUCUCUUCGAGAAUCCCCCAUUUCACCCUAAAAACAUGCGUUUUCUCUUCGCAAAAACCCCAAUUAAGUGAAAAUCUCGCGUUUUCUCUUUGAGAAUCGUCAAUUUUAGUGAAAAUCAAGCGUUUUCUCUUUGAGAAUCCCCCAUUUAAGUGAAGAUCACGCAUUUUCUCUUCUCAAAUACCCCAUUUAAGCGAAAAUCACGCGUUUUCUCUUCGAGAAACCAACAUUUAACGUAAAUCACGUGUUUUCUCAAAUCCCCCAUUUAAGCGAAAAUCACACGUUUUCUCUUCGCAAAUCCCCCAUUUAACCAGAAAAUCACGUGUUUUCUCUACACAAAUCUGCCAUUUAUGCGAAAAACACGCGUUUUCUUUUCGCAAAUCCCACAUUUAUGCGAAAAUCACAUUUUCUCUUUGAGAAUCCUCCAUUUAAUGUGUAAAUGACACGUUUUCUCUUUGCAAGUCCCACAUUUAAGCGAAAAUCACGCGUUUUCUUUUCGCGAAUCCCCCAUUUAAGCGAAAGUCACGCGUUUUCUCUUCGCAAAUCCCCCAUUUAACCCGAAAACCACGCGUUUUCUAUUCGAGAAUCCCCCAUUUAACCCGAAAACCACGCGUUUUCUCUUCGAGAAUCCCCCAUUUAACGUGAAAAUGACGCGUUUUAUCUUUGCAAGUCGCACAUUUAAGCGAAAAUCACCCGUUUUCUUUUCGCGAAUACCCCAUUUAAGCGAAAAUCACGUUUUCUCUUCUCAAAUCCCCCAUUUAAGCGAAAAUCACGCGUUUUCUCUUCGAGAAUCCCCCAUUUAACACAAAAAAACACGCGUUUUCUCUUCAGAAAUCCCACAUUUAAGCGAAAAUCACACGUUUUCUCUUUGAGAAUCGUCAAUUUAAGCGAAAAUCACACGUUUUCUCUUCGCAAAUCCCCCAUUUAACUUGAAAAUCACGCGUUUUCUCUUCACAAACCCCCCAUUUAUGCGAAAAACACGAGCUUUCUUUUCGCAAAUCACACAUUUAUGCGUAAAUCACGUUUUCUCUUUGAGAAUCCAACAUUUAAGUGAAAAUCACGCGUUUUCUCAAAUCCCACAUUUAAGCGAAAGUCACGCGUUUUCUCUUCGCAAAUCCCCCAUUUAACCAGAAAACCAAGCAUUUUCUCUUCGAGAAUCCCCCACUGAACCCGAAUAUCAUGUAUUUACUCAAAUCCCCCAUUUAAGCGAAAAUCACGCAUUUUCUCUUUGCAAAUCCCCCAAUUAACACAAAAAAACACGCAUUUUCUCUUCAGAAAUCCCACAUUUAAGCGAAAAUCACGCGUUUUCUCUUCGAGAAUCCAACAUUUAACCCGAAAACCACGCGUUUUCUCUUCGAGAAUCCCCCAUUUAACCCGAAAAGCAAGCGUUUUCUCUUCGCAAAUCCCCCAUUUAAGCAAAAACACGCAUUUUCUCUUCACAAAUCCGCCGUUCAAGCAAAAAACACGCAUUUUCUUUUCAGGAAUCUUCCAUUUCACCCGAAAAUCUCGCGUUUUCUUUUUGCAAAUCCCCCAUUUAACCCGAAAAUCACGCGUUUUCUCUUUGAGAAUCCAACAUUUAAGCGAAAAUCACGCGUUUUCUCAAAUCCCACAUUUAAGCGAAAGUCACGCGUUUUCUCUUCGCAAAUCCCCCAUUUAACCAGAAAACCAAGCAUUUUCUCUUCGAGAAUCCCCCAUUUCACCCUAAAAACAUGCGUUUUCUCUUCGCAAGUCCUCCAUUUAAGCGAAAAUCACGCGUUUUCUCUUCGCUAAUCCCCCAUUUAACCCGAAAAUCGCACAUUUUCAAUUUGCAAAUCCCUCAUUUAAGCGAAAAACACGCGUUUUCUCUUCACAAAUCCGCCAUUUAAGCAAAAAUCACUCCUUUUCUCUUCAGGAAUCUUCCAUUUAACGAGAAAAUCACGCGUUUUCUCUACACAAAUCCCCCAUUUAUGCGAAAAUCACGCGUUUUCUCUUCGGAAAUCCCCCAUUUAAGUGAAAAUCACGCGUUUUCUCUUCGAGAAUCCAACAUUUAAGCGAAAAUCACACGUUUUCCCUUCGCAAGUCCUCCAAUUAAGUGAAAAUCUCGCGUUUUCUCUUUGAGAAUCGUCAAUUUUAGUGAAAAUCAAGCGUUUUCUCUUUGAGAAUCCACCAUUUAAAUGAAGAUCACGAAUUUUCUCUGCUCAAAUACCCCAUUUAAGCAAAAAUCACGCGUUUUCUCUUCGAGAAUCCCCCAUUUAACCAAAAGUCACGCGUUUUCUCUUCGCUAAUCCCCCAUUUAACCAGAAAACCAAGCAUUUUCUCUUCUAGAAUCCCCCAUUUUACCCGAAAAUCAUGUGUUUACUCAAAUCCCCCAUUUAAGCGAAAAUCACACGUUUUCCCU
ensembl:lncRNA